ACAGGUCACUCCAGACCAAGAGCAACAAUCUGUUUCAUUUUCCCAUGUUUCUAUGGUUGGAUAAACCUGAUCACAAUGAUAAUAAUAAUAAUAAUAAUUAUACUUAUUAAUGGUUAAGGAGGUCUUGAAGUGAAGCAAUGCAAGGUUGUCAUGGGGGUGACACCAGGAAUGGGAGAAUGAAACAUGAAAGAGCAGAAGCACAGGAAACAGCCACCCCAUUCCCGUGGAUGACUUCAUUCUAGCUUUUGUGCAGUUUACUUUGGUCACACAGACUUAGUAUAAGGAAAUACACUUGGAAAGAUAAGAAACUCAA
rnacentral:sRNA from 1 species